UACGUAGGGUCCGAGCGUUGUCCGGAAUUAUUGGGCGUAAAGGGCUCGUAGGCGGUCCGUCACGUCGGGAGUGAAAACUCAGGGCUCAACCCUGAGCGUGCUUCCGAUACGGGCGGACUAGAGGUAUGCAGGGGAGAACGGAAUUCCUGGUGUAGCGGUGGAAUGCGCAGAUAUCAGGAGGAACACCGGUGGCGAAGGCGGUUCUCUGGGCAUUACCUGACGCUGAGGAGCGAAGGCAUGGGGAGCGAACAGG
rnacentral:rRNA from 1 species